GGUUGUGGCUCAGAGGUACAGCACUUGCCUACCAUGUGUGAGGCACUGGGUUCGAUCCUCAGAACCA
rnacentral:tRNA from 1 species